ensembl:lncRNA
AGGUUGAGAUGUAUUUGAUGCUAUGAACUGCCUGCAUGCAACUCUGUUAUGGAUCUGCCUGGCUUCUUUACCUGAAUCAGUUCUACUGCAGAUCACAGGGGGAGAAUCAUGCUUUAUUUUCAGGAAGGCCAUUACUGGAGAUCCCUGACUCCUGCCCAGCAUAUGAUGGAGGCCUGAGAAAAAAAUACACUAAGAGACAGAACUAAGAGAGAGACAGCAAGGUGCCAGGACAACCAAUGCCAGUGGAACCAUCAAAGGUGCUG